GAUCAAUUGAUGAGAAAAAUAAAACUGCAACAAUAUGAUUGGAUUUAAUCCGUGAUUACUUGUAUUUAAGUCUCUGAUGAUC
rfam:Gossypium arboreum cultivar AKA8401 contig_32963_3, whole genome shotgun sequence.